UGCGUAGGCGGGCUAAUAAGUCAGUGGUGAAAUCUCUCGGCUCAACCGGGAAACUGCCAUUGAUACUGUUAGUCUUGAGUUCGGUUGAGGUAGGCGGAAUGUGUAAUGUAGCGGUGAAAUGCUUAGAUAUUACACAGAACACCAAUUGCGUAGGCAGCUUACUAGACCGACACUGACGCUGACGCACGAAAGCGUGGGGAGCGAACAGGAUUAGAUACCCUGGUAGUCC
rnacentral:rRNA from 1 species